UUGAACGCUGGCGGCAUGCUUUACACAUGCAAGUCGAACGGCAGCGGGGGCUUCGGCCUGCCGGCGAGUGGCGAACGGGUGAGUAAUAUAUCGGAACAUACCCUGGAGUGGGGGAUAACGUAGCGAAAGUUACGCUAAUACCGCAUACGCACUAAGGUGGAAAGCGGGGGAUCGCAAGACCUCGUGCUCCUGGAGUGGCCGAUAUCUGAUUAGCUAGUUGGUAGAGUAAAAGCCUACCAAGGCGACGAUCAGUAGCUGGUUUGAGAGAACGACCAGCCACACUGGAACUGAGACACGGUCCAGACUCCUACGGGAGGCAGCAGUGGGGAAUUUUGGACAAUGGGCGCAAGCCUGAUCCAGCAAUGCCGCGUGAGUGAAGAAGGCCCUCGGGUUGUAAAGCUCUUUUGUCAGGGAAGAAACGGUGAUCGCUAAUAUCGGUUGCUAAUGACGGUACCUGAAGAAUAAGCACCGGCUAACUACGU
rnacentral:rRNA from 1 species